rnacentral:lncRNA from 1 species
CCAAUUGGAAUCAAUCCCGUAUGCCUCCUCUGACACAUUACAGAUGCUGUGUGACAGUAGAGCUUUAGUACAAGUUACUUCAACUAUUAGUGAUGAAUUAUUAAAUUACUGUCUGCCUUGGUUGAUUAAUAUCAUCUAAGGCUCAAGAGAGUCCAGCUUAGGCUUUCAGCAAAAAGAAACAAUUAUGUGAAUAAUGAAUAAAUGUAGGUUCAACAAUAAUGACACGUCAUAAGUGAAGAUGCAGGACUAGAGGCGACAGGACAGGUAGAAGCCAUCUGCUGCACUGUAACGUGGCUGUCUGUGGAGAGUUUACCUUCUCUCUCUUUAACCCACUAUCCCUCCCACCCCCACGGUCUCCCCACCUCCUCUCAGGGGAGUCACUCUAACAGACAGGACCAAUUUUCUGCUAAUUGGACCUCAGGAAAUUGCUCCUCGUUUUAAUUUACUGUCGGACAGCCAUGAAGACAUGUGAUCCACCCACUGCUUUUCUCCACCCCUCCUUCCUUUUCUUCUCCACUGUGGGUGCAGGUGUGAGGAUGAGUGAGGUACACCUUAAAGGCUCCUCUGUCUCCCUCCCUCUCUCUGGAAAUAAAAGUAGUAGGCAAACGCAGAGACUGCAGUGAGGUCGAGUGGUUAACUGACCGUGACAACCAGAUGCAUUAAAUAUAACACGGUCCACAUUCGUGGGCCAGAAAAGCCCACAGAGGGUGCUCAAAGGAAUUCAAAGUUUUUGAAGACAAAAGUGAGCAUGAAUGGAAAAAUAAUCAGUCCAGUGUGGGUAUUUUCCCAAACAGAGGCUGUCACAAUAUUAUCAAAGCCACUGGGGCGUGUUGGAACAUCCUAUCCAAACAGGAACUGUAUUCAUUGGACAGACUAUUAACCUUUGCUAUCGGGCGACGACAAGCCGGCCUGUGAGAUCACCAGGAUCAGAUGACAAUAUCUGACAGAGCGCCGUCUGGAGGAUUGUCAAGAUAAGAUUAAUUGCCAUAUAGUAACAAAACUAACACAAUAACUGCAACUUUAGUACCAUAGAUCACUCUGCUAGCAAUUACUGAACAAAUAUCGGAGGAAAUCUACACCACAUUUGAGACCUCUAGACUGUGAUAAUGAUGGACUGAUGAGGCAGGUGUUCACUCCUUCGAGGUCAUUCCAGGACCAGAGGGAUGAACAUGUCGUGUACUAAAUUCAGCAUGAGUGAGGAAAGUAUAAAGAGAAAUACAGCGAGUCCCAAAAGAGAAAGUUUGUAUUAACUUCAAGCAAGAAUUUAAAUGGUUGUUGACACAUGGUAUGCAAUGAUAUUUCACAUUGGUUGUAAGUAUUGCUGGAAAAAUGGGUGUAUGGAGUUGAUUGAGAACAUAAAUGACAAUUGCAAAGGUGUCUUUACUCAACAUUUUUUUUAUAACUUAUCAACUUUUGAUCUGAAAAUAAAAACACUCAAAUAAAUAGUCACAUUGUCAGCUCUUUUAACCGUGUUAAACUUCAGUAUUGAUUCGAUUCAGUGAAAACCACCUUUUCAAGACUGAUUUGGAUUUUGUAAGAAUCAUCAGGGUCAAGUGUCAGCAGAGAUUAUUUUUAUGAGCCUGUUCUACAUGUUGAUACAUAACAUAAAUAAUUUUGAUGCCUCUUUCUGUUUUGGAGGUUUGCAAUAAUGUCAGAAAUCGAUUAUGUUGUUGGGAAAAUAAAUAAUUUUGUGGAAAAAAAUUCAGUAUCGUUGUGAUCACAGGAAAAAUCACAGUUUCUUUUUUUACAAGUAAUCAAUCAUCAAGCCAUAUAAUUUUCAAAGAUGGAUCAGGGGUGUUUUUUUGGAUUUGCAUUAUUUGUGAAUGAACAUCAGGGUUCAAAAGUUUAGACAUUAACCCCACUCUUAAGAUAUAUUUCAAGUAAAAAUAUACAAAAAGAAGUAUUUUGUUUUCACUGUCUCUGGGACUGUCUUUAGAAGGUUUGCAUUUUUCAUUUUUAGUUUUUUUUUUUGUUAAUACAGACCCAUUCAAAAGCUGGAUUAGCAUAAAAAACUAACAAUUAUGGAGAGUUUAAAAAACCUUCUGGCACCUUCAAUUUGACUGCUCCUUUGAUUCAUUUGAUCUGAGUGUUGUCCUUAUUGACAGCUCAUAUUACUUACAGAUGGCCAUACACUUCUGCAGAUUAUUGGUGGAUCAUGAGACAGGCACCCCUCACUUGUGUUGAGUUUUCUCUCCGUGUUAAAACCUUCUAUGCUUUUACUCCUCUUAAGCUCGGUUUGACAUAUUUCCCUCCUGCCCUAUACCAGCAGAAGAUGUGCUCCCAGGUUAAACAUCAGACUAUUUAUUUUAACAAAUGAAAGUGUCAAAGUCCCAACUGACAGGAGCCAUACCCGUUUUAAGUUGAAGCGCUGCUGAACCAGGAAACAAUCCAAACUGUCUGCAGAAAUCAAGAAAAACCUCCACUCUGUAAAACACUUACAUGAAACUUCCUCCCUGAUCGGAGUUUUCCCUUUUUCUUAUUUAGUUUUUCUGUCAGCAUCCAUCACGUUAAACUCUGUGUACUGUUUUUGUGUUUUUCGCCAACAUAAGCAAAGUUGGAAACAUGGGUUUGAUAAUGGCGAGGCUUCCUGCUCUCCUGACAAUCUAUAAACUUUGAGAAAAAUGUAACUUUGGAUUGGUUUUAGCGGUUCAAUUUAAAUCCCAUUUUUUAACACAGCGGAUAUUACGUUUUGAGAAAAUCUCCUCAAAUCUAUCCUGCUUGUUUGUCAUUGGAUUGAUAGGUUUGCAAUUACAUUCACUGAGUGUGUUUGCUGCAGGGUUUUUGGCACUCGCACAGACUGUGGUAGGAAAUGUUUAAAGAUGUUAUUCACAGCAGAAACACUCAAAUAUGAAGAUUAAUGAGUGCGCAGAGAGCAGAUCACACAUGUUUGGUAAAAAAGUUUCAUGCACAAGCACAGACACACACACACAUUUCUCACCAGCCCUUUCCAUACACACAUGUUGCAGAAUGACUGAAUCCAACCUUGGUUGACAUUCACACCAACACAUCCACGUUUCCCAGGGGCCCACUAUGACCCUCACAUAGGGUUCAUCUGCAUCCACCAAUCAAUACGCCCGCAUGUUUUAGCCCACAAUCCCUCCAUAGCUGCCUAUCAAUACUGACAUGUUACCCGGGCCAAACAUCCAUCAGGCUGCCUGACAUGUUUUGUAGCUCAAGCGCCGCCAUCCAUCAGGGCUGGACUUUUAUAAACCUACCAACCCGAUAUGAAUCGAUAAGUCAUGUUUUCAAACAUUCCCCUCAUGUCGAUAUGCAAAGCUGCGCUUGGGCACCAGCUCUGACCUCCAUUCAAGGACCUCACAAACAAUCAUAGCGAAGACCCACCUUUGUAAAAGAGCAGUGGCCUUUCUGGUAUUGAUGUAGUCACAAUGCGGGAGGCCAGAGUAAACAUGUAGGAAGGGAAGUUCAGGAUAAUUGUGGUGUAAUUGUGCUCAUUGAUCCUUUAUUUGCAGGGGAUUAGUGAGCUGACAGGGCGCUUGCAAAGUAGCGAAGACUGAUAGAUCUGCAGUGUUUGUUAAGCUGUUUUGUUCUCUUCUAAUUAAAAUGUAUGGUGAGUGACCUGUGUGACCUUUGCUGUAUUCGCACAUGCACAAAACUCCUGUAAUAUCUUUCAAAAUUUCCAGGGUGAGCUGCAUCUUUGGCACAAUUUCCGUAAACUUCAAGCAGUUGUUGGCAGUAACAAAGCGCUGAGAUACAACGUCAUUUCAAACAUAUAGUAAAACCAAAGGAUCAGUGAUUUUACUCUUUGACAAUAUCUUCAAACAGUAGACUGAAUACCACGUCUAUUUGACAUCAUGAUCAUAGUGUGGCCAUAUGAAUAGUGGAGUCAAAUCAAUUUCUGAGUCCGAGCUCCCUAAAAUUUUUAUGAAAUUUUCCAGAUUGCACGCCAGAAAACAGCUCAAAGAAGCGGUUAUAAAUGAUAGCAAUAGCAUCACUCAACUUGGCAAAUCUGGAAGAAUGACAUGCAACAGGAUAAAUGACAAACUUUUAAGGCUUAGGAAGUAUGAUCAUUUUUAAGAUAAGGUGGGAGGAGAUGUUAUCCUGCUCCUUGGAAACCCAUCCCUCUGCCUUGCCCCCCUACCACUGAUCAACAAGUGAGAGUUCACCCUGUAAGGGCUGAGUUUAGACAAGUGACCUAAAAAAUUGGGGGCAGAAGUCCUGAAAUUCCUGCACUUGUGACUUGGGGCCACGUGUAUCUGUUUUUAGGAUGCUAAAUGGUAAUGGUGGCAAGGGGAAGGAAAAGAAGGAAAGUAAAUCAAAGAUACUUCCUUUCUGUCUCAAAAGCACGUCCACACACACUUAUACACACACGUACACCAAGCUCAUUACAUCCUCCCUGCUGCCUGAUGUCUGGUUGACAACUUAGCACCUUGGACUUACUUUCACACUUUCCAAACUUCUUAACUGGCCUCGGCCUCUGCGCACAGCAGAGCUCAUUCACCCGAAUCCUCUGCAGACGGAGAGGAAACAAAUAACCCUGCGAAACCUGUCUCCACCAAAUCCUCAAAAUCUUAUCUGCUUGAACUCCUGACUUUCCAACUGCACCUUCAUAUUUCAUGCACUGGCCAAACAGUCGUUUGAAAAUACCUCUCUCUUCAACUGAGGAACUUUUCUCCCCAAAGCGAACAGGGGUUUCAGUUGCAACUGAAAUCUUCAUCCAUCAUGCAGAUAGGUAUGCGUCCCUGGAGGGGCUGUUGUAAUAAAGUGGACCUAUCAGUCAGGGUGGAGCAGGCUUAUUACUGUCUGUGUGGCCUGAUGCUUUACACACUCUGUAAAACCUCCUGCUGCUGCAGCUUACUGUGAAAAAACACCAAUGACUGUAAAGAGUGCGAGGCAAACCCAAGGGUUACAGUCCAAAAAGGAGGUAAAACAAACGUACGGCCGAUGAUGGUAAUAGUCAGCGGUGAUAAUUUGAAAUGGUGCGCCUGAAAAAUAAAACAAAAAGAGUUCAUGGUACCAAAUUUAUUAUUGGAAGAGUCAUUAAUUAUGUACGAAACAUGUAUUACAGAAAGAGCCUUUUAAGUCUGAAUGCUUUGGCCGCAAUAAUUUCACUCUGUUCUCAUUUUGUUUUUAUGACAGGGGAUUAAUUAACCAGAGGGACAAUGGAUAAACUCUUUCUGCAACCAAAGGAAAAUAAAACAAUGCCCCCUGCACUGCAAGCACCACAGGGAGACUGGAGGAGCAGAAACAACACAAGGACACUUAUCAAGGAUGCAGCAGCACAGCAAAGACUUUAGAGAACUUUUGUUUCUCCCACAAACUACCAAAAAAGUAGUGAUCUCUGCAAACUGUAACAGUCAGUAACGUGACAUGAACGGUUUAAAGAAAGUAUGGUUAUAGCUGCAUUAGGCAGUCUAACAGUCAUUCUCCCAAUAACAGGCAUAGGAAAUAAUGCCGUAUUCUAGUUGUACUUGGAAGUCUGAAUUUCCGAAAUCCGAGUCGGAACGGAACAUCUGGUAUGCCCCCCUGAAGUCGGAUUUCCGACUCGGAGUGUCGGACGAUCCUCACCAACCCCGACUUGAGGACAACGUCAUAAUCCAAGAUGGCAGCGCAGUACAUCAACAAUAAAGAGUAACAGUGAAAGCUCUCUAAAUGUAUUAUUCAUUAGCACUUCUGUUUUGUUUUUGUGAAAUUAAAUAAGUGGUAACUGUAAACACGGUGCUAUUGUGUUUGUAAGAGUAAAAUACUGUGUUAUGCGUUGUUCACAACUGCUAUAGCUAACAACAACUAACAACAGCUAACAACAACAGACAACGGCUAAUGACAGCUGACAAAUGUAAACAACAGCUAACAACAGGUAACUGUAGGCAACUAUCUUGGUUUUCCCGCUUGUUUACUGGAACGCCAUCAGUUUAGGUGUAACUUCAUUCCCAACAUCUGACUUCCGAGGUAACUGGAAUGCAGCAUAAGAACUGAUCCUAACUCGUUCAACCCACUGACAUAAUUCCAGACUUAAAGGGCUGGAAGAACAAUCACGACACACAGGAGACAAGAGUGGUUUGAAUAUCAGGUCUAAAAAUAGAACAGUAUGAUGUACCAAUAAACUAAAAUCCACUCAGUUCGUGAGACCGACAGCUUUCUGCCAAUAAACUCUACAUCUUCAGGAACUAGGGGGUCUUCUUUCCCAAGAAAAAGAUCAGUGUACUUUUAAGACACUGUUCAGAUUCAACUAUUAAAAAAAGUAAUCUGUAAUGAUUUAUGAAUUAAUUUUAGCAAUACGGUGUAAUUUCUGUAAUUAGCUGACAGUGAAAUACGAAGCUGUCAUCUUUGUUUCGGUCCAUUAAUCAGUCAAAGGCUGUAAUUGCUAUCAGCCAUGAAAAGUACAAUCAGAGGCCAAGUUUCAGGAAGUCUAACACACUAGAUCCUUUUCAAUAUCAUGUUAACUGAUGGAAGAUGCAGCAGAGUAAAAAAACUCAUUUCUGCUCCACAUCAGUGCAUCAAUCUUUCAGGUUUUUCACAAGUGUCCCAAAGGUUAAGUCUUGGCAAAUAACUACAUUAUUUGAAUGACACUUUUAACACCCCUGCAGCCAGAUGCUCGGGGGAGCACAGAGUAAAUCAUAACUCGCACUUUCUCACAGUGCACCUGACAGUGGCUUGUGAAGGCUUGGGGAGUUUAAUGGUGUGGUAGGUCAGCUGCACUAUAUUCAAACACCCUCAGGGUAAGAGACGAGUGAGGCUUGCUCAGAAAGCUGCGAUAUGUACAGGUUCAUAAUCCACCUGGGUGGUGAGUAGUAAAACAUACAGUGGGAGAUGAGUGGGAAGGAAUGUCAUGGAUUUAUGCAUGUCAGGUAUCACCUGUCAAAAAGUGGGGAUGAUAUACAGGCAGGGAUCUAUAAUGACGAGGCCAGGGCUGGUAAACGAGGUUUCCAUGUUUGUGGCUUAUGGCUCUUUUUUUCCUUCUCUUGCUCACACCUGUUUUCUCUCUCACUGUGUAACUGACUGUAUUUGUUCAGGUCUUCAGAGGUGAAAUCACCAGGAAAGCACCAGGUUUUGUAUGCCAAGCAAUGUGCAGUGCCAUGACUUACGAGACACUUUUUGUUUCAUUGUGUUGAAACCAACCACUAAUAUUACUCUAAAAAAAUCUCAUGUUUACUGGCACACUAAGAAUCAUAAGAUACUGACCACCGUGGGUGCACUUGGUCCAUCCCUCUCUACCAAGAAAAAAGGAACGAAUAAUUGUUUGCAUUUGAAAGCGAUUUCAAAAGUAAGACAGACAGUGAUAUAGCCCUAUGAUACAAACAGUUUUCCAAUGUGCCCUUUGAAAAUAAGCGUUGACCUGGGAAAACGGCUUCAAUUUGUUAGGGGGCAUUAAAAUUUGACAACAAAAACUGGCUAGAUAAGUCAAGUUCUGACAAAAAGGACCAAUUAUUUUAGUUACUGGUGUAAGUAAAUAUCACAUAAUCAUGACUGACAUUUCAAAAUAAUUAUCAACAAGCCCAGGCUUAGUAUCUAAGGAGUAUUAGCUUAGCAUAAAAAACUAAACUAAAAAAUAGUACUGUCAAAUUCUUUAAAAUAUGUGGUUUUACUAUUUUUAAAAUUUCAAAAGGAGUGGGAUUGAAGGGUUUUACAAAUUUUACAUUAUCCCUUCAAUAUACAUGUAUUUACUGGUGGAAACGGACAAUCAGUAUUAUGUUAAACUAAUUCAAAAAUGGUUGAAAACCAGUGAUUACACUAUGGCGAGAAAGUUCACUUCCCAAUCAUCCCCCAGGCCUCUCCAGUCAAGGCAGCGCAUAGGCUUGAAUUCCCAGCCUCAGUCAGCGGCAACUAUUUCAGGUCAUAUUUUGAUGGACUGCCCCUUACCCCUUACAUCAGCUACAGCCCUUUUUCUUUCAAAAUGUAACAGCUCCAUCUUGAUACCCAUCACCUGUCACUAUAUGACCCAGGUAAUGCACUUAAGGCAGCCUGUGGAGCCCUGGGGGUGUCUCUUGUGUUUUAAGUAUCCUCAGUCAAAACCCCUUAAAAUAUCAACGGGUUCCCCUGAGGCUGGGUGCGCCGGCAACCUUUGACCCCGAAGGUCAGCUGACUAAUUAGCAAACACCUCUGUGGAGCUGAGGAAUGCUCUGUGCCGAUGGCAGGGAAAAAACAGGAGUGGGAUCUGUCAAUUCCCUUCUCUGGGACUGUAAACACUCACAGGAAGAUACUUGGAAGCAGCUGAUCAUUAUUUGAGUUCAGUCACUCCUCGUGUGUGCAAUAUGGCAGUGGCACCAAGUGUCGAGUGGAAAAUGAUAGACGAGGAGCAGGAGAAGGUUUGGGAACGAAGCAAGUUGAGGUUAUGUUGAUAGGAAACGUUUAGCACAACAUCACUGACGUUAGCAAAAACUUACUGUAUAUACGUUUCCUGGACUAUGAACUCACACACUGACUCCAGCUUUAAUUUAAGAAAAAAGAAACCCUUUGUUCUCAAAGAGUCUGCUUGAGUAGCCAAAGGUUACAUUAUAAUUUCAUGUGUUUAGAUUUAGAGUCUAUGAGCCAGUUUCUAAUGACAUAUAAUGGUAUGUGUCCUACAGCAGUUUAUUGGCUUUUCAAGGGCGUAAUGACAGUCAAUGGCCACACAUUACAUUUCAGACCGUGGCCCCAUUAGGUCCAAUAGGAUCUUUCAUCUUCCAACGUUGCUGCCUAGAGCCAGUAGAAGAUCCUAUGUCAUUGUCAUAACCCUGUCCCCAUGGUGUAGGAAUCAACUCCAGGCCACCUUGACACAGAAUUCGACAUGAUUGAUGGUAAUUGCCUUUUGUAAAAUGCUGCGGCCACCGAAGACUUUAUUUUUCUCCUUGCCUUUCAUAAAGAGCUGCAAAAAUACUUAACCUGAUCUAUAAGAGGAAAUGAGAAGCAUCAGAUGAAACCCGCAACACAUUCAGCUCUCUGAACGACAUGGCUUAAUUACGCUGAUGACAUGUUGCUGUUCAUUGACCCAUUUGGAUGCAGCGACUGUGGUCAAGCUGGGCCAGAUUUAGAAGGGAUAAAAAGUCUAUUGUGUGUACGAGGAUGAACGGGGGAAAUAUAUAAGGAAAGGCAUUUGAAACUGAAACCAGAUGUGUGCGUGAGUGCGCUUUUUGGGGGGAGUGUGUGAGUGCAAAUUGAGUGCUUGUUUCAGGACUGCUGGCCAUGCCAUUUCUUGGCCGGUGAUUUUUAAGAGUUUGAGGUUUUUGGAAGAAGUAUGUUUGGUACAAUUAAAGGAGAGAAUAAAAUGAGUAGCACAGUAGGAUAAAAAACUUGUAAGACAUGGCUUGAGGUUUUCAUGUGAUUUGGGAAGGGAAAGGUACGAGUGUUACAAAGCCACACAUCUAAAAAUGCUCUCUUGACUCAGCACAACAGACCAAAUGGAAGGAAGAGGAUAUGUCAAAACUUGUUAUCCUGAAUUCUCAUCACUGCAACACAGGAUGGAAUCAUUUCCCACCCUGGGAAGACUUGUCCAAAACAGUUCUCUUACAUAAAUCACUGUCCUAAUAUGAAAAGGUACAUGACUAAGUGACUGAAAUUAAUGUGUUUCCAGGGAACGGAUCAAAAAUAAACACCCUGGCAAAACUCAGAACAGUAGAAGCCAACAGAUCCUACCACAGCUUCACAAAUGUCCUCUUUUCCCCCACCUUGCAAAUUUUCAGGCACAGCAAAUAAAAUUGUUCCAGGUGCACCAAUGAAACCCACGGGCCAAUUUCCUAAAAGCAGGGCCAAGAGCUGUUAAACGUGGAGGCGUGAAUUCAGCCAGGCUUUGUAAUAGCUUAAAGUGCUGGCCAGUGGCCCCUGCGAAGGUUUCGUGCCCUCUUUCUCACAAUAGCUAUUGGUGUUAUACUGUCAGGUGUCUGUUAACUAUUACAGCACAUGGUGGAUUAAGUCAGUGUCAUAAAGUAUGGUAAAAAUAGGAACAUAGGGCCUGUGAUACAUUAGUGUAAAGAUAUUGUUCUGAUUUAAAACUCAGAUUGGAUGAUAUUUGGUGAGGAAAGUCACUCUGUUGUUCCUUUAAAGCUCCAGGAAAGGACUUUUUGGUCUGCGUUAUCAUGUUGUCUUAACUGUUUUUGUGUACACUGUUCAUCUCUUUGUCUGAUACAUGCCUUGUCACUUGGAUCUCAGAUAUUAAAAAUUAUAAAAAAGAAGUAGUCAGUUUUUUUUUGUUGUUUUUUUGACAGGUCACCUUUUUUGCUUUAGUUGCUCAAAGAAAGGCAUCAAUAUUUAUUACAAAAAAACUUCACGGGAGCUCUGAUAAAACAAAAUAAAGGGACAAGAUUAGAUCUCAGUCUUCACAGCACAAGGCCAAUACCUACCCCUUUACACUAGUCUCAGGGAUUUGAUAUAAGAUAAAAGAUAAAAUGUAGGAGUGACUUUUUGCUGUUUGACAUUGCUUUCAAGUUUUCUUUGAUUUUAAAAUCAGAUCAAAUUUUAAAAGUGCCAAUUUUUAAACUUGAGGUCUGUGUGAGACCUUUGCUUACACUCGACAGGGGGUUUGGGUUUACAUGACCACCUCAUAUCAAAUUAGAACUGCAAAAAUGGCUCAAUCUGAAUGAAAAUGACUCAUCGAAAAACAAUUCAACUGUAGAUUUACCCAGAAAAAAAGGGGAAGAGUCCUUUAGUUGUAAGACUGCACAGCCAUGUGUACACAUGUUCCAUAUGCACUCUGUUGGCAGAUAUUUUUUGACGCUUAUUUUCCAUUUUUCAUGAUUUGAGGUUUGCAUUAAACACUUUAAAGAAAACACGGCACGAACCUGGUAAGAGAUUGAAACAAGGGUUCUUGUGGAUUUUUUUUAAGGAUUAAAACAUCGUUAAUCAGCUUGACAGGCGAAAACAAAGAAACAUUGAUCUGUUUCGUCUUGUCCACCAGGAACUGGAACAGUCUGGGAUAUAUCAUUCCAUGGAACAAAUAAAACACAGGUGGAAGGCACUUAAAAAGUUUGUUCUACAAAGCAAAAGCAGAUCCUCUCUUACAAAACUGACGUUGUAUGACAAAAUGAGUCAGCUCAUGGGGGUGCAGUCUCUGUCGAACACUGGGGUUAAUAGAGUUAAGGUUUGGUUCUUGGGCCAGGGGCCUGAUGACAACUGCUAAGAUAAGUGGGGACCUUUGUGGUGUUCACGUAGUGGCGCAUCAGGCUUGUAAACACCAGAUUGUAUAAGAUGACAAUCCAUGUAAAGAAGACAACACAACAUUUUGAAACAGAAUUAACUGAAACAGAAAAAAGUGGUCGUGUAAAUGCUUUCUUUAACUACCCAAAUGAGAUGUAAGCAUGAAUUUCAUGUCAAAGAUCCCUUUCAAAGGUAAUAUUUUCAUGCAUGUACUUUUUUUGUGUAAUUGGGUUUCAGACCGUGUUUUUUUGAUAUGCAUACUUCUCACAUUCAUUUAUGACAUUUUGUUGAUGUAUUGCGUGACCCUAUCCAAGAAAUCCACAUGGCUGAUUAAGUUUUACAGUUCAGACCAUGUUUAUUCUUGAUGCCAGAUUCCACAAUUAGUCUCAACAGAACAAAACCCUUCUGAUAAAUAAAGAGCCAUAUCAUUUUUCACUGAAAAAUCGAGUGACUUCUGCAGAACCCAGUUUUGCAGUAUUACUGAACCAUACAGUAGCAGCAGUGUGAGAGACUACAAAGAGGUCAGUGAGUGAGGCAGGACAGGACUCAUUACAAAGCAACAGAACACACCAACUCUCAACAGCUCCUUCCUCUAUCUUAGAUUUCUUCCUACUGCCUUAACAAACUCCAGGUCCGACUGAGCGGAGCAUCAGUGCCAGUGAGCUGAAACCUGAGCAGAGGAAAAAAGGGCACCUCUACGUAUGGAAAGGCUUAGGUGAGCAGUAAACUCCCUCUUAUGGAACUGAUGAGAAACACCUGGGUGUCUGAGCGACGACGUCAGCCAGACAAAUCAAAGCCAGAGAGGAUGAUUGAAAGUGAGGCGGCACAAAUCAAAACCUCUGAUCAAGCGGUCGUGAGCGAUGGAAAACGUACACGAAUGGUUGGAUGGCAGGAGCUGGAAGGAAACCUGAGAUAGACCGUCAAAGACAAUUAAGAAACAAAAUCUGAAUUACAUAUAUUAACAAAUUAAUCAAAUUCUUAAAAAAUAAACACUCUACAAACAACUAGAAGGAAAUGUAAAUAAUAAGAUCCACAAGGAACUUCAAUUAACAAGCGCAACUGGAUGCAAUCCACUGGGAGACAUUAAAAGAAACAAAGCACAAACAAAAUCAAGCAACUUUGAAAAGGAUCUACACACUGCUUGCAUCAUUUAAGCUAUGUCUGAGGUUUUUAGUGACAGUCUCUUCAUUUCUCUCUGUGUCUUGUUUGUGCUAUGAAUGAUUUAAGUGGGGCACUGGGUUCUUCAUGGCUUUGGCAGCACAGUUUUUCUCUGAAGUCAUUGAAGAGACGCCUGUUAGAGACAAUCAAAAGGCCAGAACUCAUCUAAUCCUCGGCUGGUUUCCAACUGUGUUGCCAUGUUAAGGGAGGUGUGUUGGGUAAAACCAAGAUCUCAAAGUUCCACGGACAAUUUGAGCUAACUGCUUCAGGUUGUGAGCUAUUUUCAAUGAUGUAACAAGAUACUGCUUAAUUUAUUCCAUUUUCGUGAAACCCAAUUACAUGUCAAGCAAGAGUGACUGUUCCCAAUGUUUUACAUCAAUUGGAAAUAAUUAUAUUCUGGUUAAUCGCAGGGGUUCCAUGUUUCAAUUUCCUCUAUGAGGGAAAGAUGUGGCUGUUGGCGAGUAGUAGGUGAACGGAAAUGAAACACAAAUGCUUCUUUCUCUGUGGGUCUCAGAUUUGUGGCGUGCUCAAGUGGGCACCAUAGCAAAUGUGCCCUUCGCUGCCUUUUGGUGAUCUUUCGUGAAGACAGACUUCGGAGUUUCUGCCAUUACUUUCUCUUUCAACAUGGCUCCACCCAACUGGUCUCCACAUUUGUGCAUCUGUUGGAUGUCUCUGAGCGCGCGUGUUGGCGUCACCACUAAUAGGUCUGUCAGUUGAGAUGCUGCUGAGAGCUGUUGUCAUAGCCUCAUGUCCAAACUGGCAGCAUUCACUUUCCACUUACUGUCCCCGGAGAGAGUUUGACCUGAGUGGAGUUACCACAAUGUGGGCUCACACUGCCCAGUUGGUUAUCCAACCCAGCACACGCACACACACAUCCUCCCUCUCUUACACACACAGCCCAUACAAGCAGGCUGACACACUUUUAAGACUGUGUUACAUUAACAUCUAAUGAGAAGUUAUUCAUUAUUCAUUAUUACAACGCUGUGUGCAGUACUUGGGGCUGACUGGUCAUUACAUAGCAACACUUUGUAGCAACAGUGUUAUUCCUGAACGGAAGACUGUCGCUAAGGAGAACAGACCACUAUUCACAAUGACAGAGACACAACAGAUGUGUAAGCCAUGACAAAAAAAAUCUGCAAAUAUAACAAAGCGUGUGGUCUUAACACUGACCAGAGUAAAGUUUGGGAUACAGUGGUGCUUUGGACUGAUGUGCAAAAAAAAUAUUUAUAUAUACCAAACUGAAGCAGCUGGGAAAAACAAUGAGGUGAGGGGUUUCUUCAUGUGCUCCUGCUGAUCUUGUCUUUACUGUACAAUCAGUGGAAAAGUUGAGUCUAAAGAAAUUACUUUAAGAAGGUUAUUGAUUUGACUGUUAAUUUGGAAAUAGCUAAAACUUUAAGUAUAAGGGCCUGUGUCCACUAACUUUUUUUGGCCUGCAGAACUUUUUCUCUUGCAACACUAAUGCAGUCUAAUGUGAGUCAUUAUAACCACUUGAGAAAGGCUUGAGAGUUGACUGUUACGUUGGACACAGAAAAAUCUGUGAGUGUAAGGGCCUGUGUCCACUAACUUUUUUAUGCAGUUUAAAGUUUUCAGCAUUGUCACACAGGGCCAGAGCCUCUUUUGAGCAUAUUGAAAGGGUAAGACAGUGGAUCAAGCAGAGGUCCUGAAAAGGGAGUAGGGGAUGAUAGUGGCAAAAGGCCGCAGGCUGAACUUGAACCCUGCUUCCUGCUGGAAAGACUGCAGUCUCUGUACAUUGGGCGCACAAUUUAGCCUCAAGUCCAACCCAGUGACCCAGUGACAGUGACGCCUAUGAGGAGAAAGUACUUAAACUUGUUUUUGAGGCACACUCUCCAGGUCUUAACAGCAGCUUACAUAGGGAUGUGUUUCCCUUUUGUUUUUUUCGAUACAAUUUACUUAGACAAAUGCAAAUAUGAAGCGAAUAAAUCAAUAAGAAGCAGACAUAAUAGGUCAAAGAGGUGAAAAUGCUUUGAAACAAUAAGAGAAACGACAACAGCUGAUCAGAAGCACCCUCAAACUGAGCUCACAAGUGCUACCAGCAGAAAAAAUACUGAUAGUGUACACAGGUCCUUAUAGACUAUUUCCAAAAAAUAAAUAUAAUUGAUUUUUUUCACGUUACAAUUAAUUCAUCAUGUCUGAAUUAGAUUUUCCAGUCAUUUACAGUCAUAUUACAAAUCAAGCCUGUAUUAAUAAAUUUAAACAGGCAUCAAGGAAUGUUAAAAGAUACAAGUUUUUUUAUUUUGGUAAAGUAAAAAGGGGAUAAAACCUUAACAUAUUUGGUUUUGAAAAAAGGCAUCUUCAAAUCUUUUGUUUCACUUUCAAAAGUCAGAAAACAAAGAUUUUAACCAUCAAAUGAACAGGCUGAGAAAAACUAUUUUGUGGCCUGAGUUAGGGACUGGGACUUUUUGAAGUUUUACCCUAAAAGGGCUCAAAGCCUUCUGCUCCAGAUGAAGCAUGGAUAUUGUUAUUCUAAGUCUUUUUAUAUAAUUUAUACAAUGAGAAAAGAUGCAUACUGAAAACAAUGGUUUUAAAAUCAUGAAUGAAGGAAAUCAAAAGGUUAUCAACUCAGUGAGUUAGUGCUUUUUAAAAUACUCUUGAAAGGAAAUGAGAGUGUCUGAGUUACAAAUAUCACAAACCUCAAUAAAACAUAAAAAACGUGCAGAUUUUCCUGAAAGUACCAAGUGUCAAGAAAACACCAUUCAGGUUAAAAUUAGAGUUUUAUUCCUGGGAUCACCAUAGGUUAUCUAACUUCAUAUUUUUCUCAUAAAUUCCAAUUUCCGCAGAAAAUGUCACAACAACAAUGGCUCUUCCUGAGCAGGGUCAAGCUUUGGCCUGUAAAACAUAAAAAAAGAAGAAAUUCUCCUUGCACAUGCAAAUUUUAAGGUCACAUACUCUCUGCAGUGUACACUCAGCUUAUGAAAAACUCCCGCUGUGCUCACAGUCAAGGCCGAGCACACAACGGAGCCAGAGGACGGAGACUUCAGCCGAGAUUUAACAGGAAAACAGCGUGCCAGCCUGUUAGCCAUUCAGAGCUCUCACAAUGAAAACAGCCUUGUGUUUUUCCAACUCGAGGAGCCAGUGUUGGCCAUUUUGCCUGUUUCAGCAGCAAGACCUGUUUUGUCUUGGGCUGAUUUUGCAGUAACUACUACUGUCUGUAGUCUACAAUAACCACACCACCAUGCUUUCAUUGGAAAUGAAUGAAAGUAGUGACCUCACUGCUUUCGACCAGACCACCCCAAAGUAAAAGCCCCGAAAGAAAAUCCAAGUGUCGGAGUUUGAAGCUGUCCCGCCGGGGGCUUGUUUCAAGAUUUCCCAUAUUGAUUCACAGUUUUUGAGCCGCUGCAGCUGCAGAUCAUCCAUGCUCUGAUGUUUACAAGUAAACCUGGACGUUUCACAAAGCGCUGUUGCAACCUUUAACAAGCCUCUGCAGAAGACUUUAUGUAAUGCAAACACAUAAACAUGCCCAAAAAUGUACACAAACAGCCUGCAACCGAACCUAAAAACGCACAUUUCAAGAGAGACAGAAAUGACGACACUGCAGUAAGUCCAAGUGUCCUGCAAUAUCUCAGUGUUUUUCUCCUUAACCAGCAGUUCUAUCAGCACAUUCAUUUAAUAAAAAAUGUAUUUUUUUCCUGCUGCAGCCUCCUAAAUAAAACUGCAUUGAAAUCAGAAUGGAGUUCAUCCAUCUCUGUCUCUCUUAUUAAUGAAUACAGCCAGGCUGUGGUUUGAGACAGUGUGUUGCAUUACAGAAGCAGAUUAACUGUAAGAGCAAGUGUCGCCUUUGUGGUGCUGCUUGAACUGCUCAUAGCUCUGUUGUGUUUGCAGCAAAGGACAAGUAGAAGGCACCAAAUGACUCCCUCUGUGUGCAUGGGUGCUGGCUCAGCAGGCUUUGACUCCGCUUCAUUCAGCUCCCUGAUUGCAUUGGCCUCCACCAAGCCAUUGAUUCCCCAAGUCCAAGCCAAGCACUUUUCUGUUUGCCUUGCUCCCCUCUAGAUACCAACAACCACAGCUGUGUCUGUACUAGUAUUGCCGCCGUGUUACCUGUUUUAGUGCAGAGGUCAACGGGUUUGAGAGGGGACGGCUCAUGUCUGGAGGAAGAUACAUGGAGGCUGGCUUAAGAAAGCUGACAGUAUGACUUAAACCCUGCAGCUCUGGUAAAACAGAACAAUCCCAUAGGUCAGGAGGUGCUGUUUCAUCAUUCUGCUGAAGAGGUCUAUCGCUUUGACUUUAGUUCAAUUAUUGGUAUUUGAAGUCUUAAGAGGAAACACUUAAGGCAAGGUUCACUGAGGUUAGAGGGGAAAACACAUAAAAGCCUUUAUUUUCCAGUCCAAACUUCCCAUCCUGUCUUGGCCGGUGGAAUAUCAGUUUCACUACCUCACAACUGUCAUUUCUGCUGUUAAAACAAUAUUUGCUCUGACGAGAACUUUCCAGCAGCUCGGUCUAAUUUUCACAAGCUAUUUUAGACUUAGUCUUAGCUUUCAGAAGUGUCUCAUUGUCAAUUAGAAUUCUCAACAUUGAAGUCUAUACUUUUGGACAAAAUGCUUGAUCUCUUUAAACUACACCAAUCAGAUGAUGAGAAACUGGUAUAAAUCUUGUUUUGUGCUCAAAUCUGUAAAGCUACAUUUCACUUUCUUUGCACCAUAACUUGUGUAAACCUGGAUUUAAUCUACUAGACCCUCAAAGUAAAAACUCUACUGUGCUGUCCCUCUACUAAGGUAAAAGUAUCACACACAGAUUAAAGUUUUAGUAAAAAAGAGUAUUCAUAAAUGACCCUUUUAUUGCCCUUUCUGGUUGUAUCAAUAAUGUCUUAUUAUUCAAAUAAAGUUGUAUUAUCACACUGUCAGCUGCAUCACUAUAUUAAUACAUCUGAGUUUGGUCAAAACCACUGAGAAAUGAAAAGUGGAGAGACAAAGGAAUAACAGCCACAUGUACACUUAUAGAUAAGCAACAUUUCAAAUCAUUUACAGCGCUGAAAAAUGAGUUUGGAUUAGAAAAUGAAGAUCUAUAUAGAUAUUUCCAAUUAAGACACUUUUAUGAGACAGAAGUUAAGAGGGAAAUUUCUGUGGAGGGGAAUGAUGUGAUCGAAAUAUUAACAGGCGCGUUCAAGCAAACCCCCUUAAGAAUUGUCUCAAAGCUAUACAAAGGUUUAUUGAAGCAACAGGGAAGAAACACAAUGUAUAUAAAAGAGAAAUGGGAAAGGGAACUCGGCAUUGAAUUAUCUGAGAGUGAUUGGCAGACCAUGCUCAAGACCCAACAUACAUCAACAAGUUCUAAAACAUGGAGGGAGUUCGGUUGGAAAAAUUUGACACGUCUAUUUAUUACACCAAAAAUCAAAAAUAAACAAUUAGGUCAACAACAGCAUUGUUGGAGACAAUGUGGGCAACUGAAUGCCAACCACUCUCAUAUAUUUUGGUCAUGUACGAAAAUACAGACAUUUUGGGAUGAGGUCCUGAGAGUCAUGGGUAAAGUUUUUGGAUAUAAUUUACCCAAAGAUCCCCGGUUUAUUUAUCUUGGACUGAUAUUAGAAGAUGUAAUGGGUAAAGAGGACAUAUACCUGUUCAAGAUCCUAUCUCUUGCAGCUAAGAAAGCCAUCACAAGAACUUGGCUAAGAACUGAUCCACCUGAACUGAGUGACUGGCUGACCAUUGUAGAGGAAACCCGAUCAAUGGAACAAAUGACUUACAGACUACGAAUUAAAGCUGAGCUAUAUGCUGUAAGAUGGACUAAAUGGCACCUGUAUGUAACUGAGUAGUGUUUGCCCCCCUUGUUCUUGUUCUUGUUUUGUUUUGUUUUGUACAGUAUGUGCGUGUAUGUUUGAAAGUUUGCCUUAAAAGAUAAAAAUAAAGUUUAAAAAAAAAAAAAAAAAAAAAAAAAAACACUGAGAAAUCUCAUUAAAUGUGCUGAUAACAUAUCCCUGACCCAAGAUAGCUCAAGGCUUUGACACCUCAAUUUAAAGUCAGUGGUGGAAAAAAAAUGAAAAUGCCAAUUAUCAACCUGUCACUAACUUGGUAGCUCCGUCAGUCAUGGCUUUGUCACUUAGAUAUAAUGGAAAAAUAAAAAUCAGCAAUGAAAAGGGGAAAGAUGCACGGAGUUGAUGAAUUUUGUACUUAUAGCAUCGUUGGUGCAGAAAAGUGACAAAAUUUACAAGACUGUGAGAUUUUGACGGACAGAUCAGACACAGUUGGGAAAAUAUCAAUGAAUUUUAACAUCCAACAAUCCAUCACAACCACUGCAGUCCUGACCUGCUGUCACACGGCCGAAACAAAUCAUGAGUUAAUCAGUGAUAUGUACAGUAGGUCAUAAAUAUUAUCACUCCUUAAUUAAAUAUUACAUUUGACCAUCCGUCAAAGGUCAGCAGGAUGAGGUUUUCUGUCGGGGUCAGGACUUAAUCAUAUAGAGGACAAGAUAAGCAAAGACUUUCUUGUCCACAGGGGGCGCAAAAUUGACAAAAACUGAAAGAUCCACAUAGGAGCUUUAAUUUCUGUGUGUAGAAUAAACCUGCAAAGAGUGAAGAUGCCAGAGCCUUAAUGCUAUAUAUGCCUCAGCCAUCUAACUGCAGAUUUUUUUCCCAUAAGACUUGUUUUUUGAAUUUUCCAAAUGUUAUUUGAAAAAUAAAUUUAAAGUAGCCAUAAAGCAACCAAUUCAGUACCUGUUUUUUCAUUCUUGCCAAAACCAGCUCUCUUGAAAAAUAUACAAAGAGCAACGAAAGAAAGAGAGAAAAAGACAGAGUGAGAAUGAAACAAAGAGCAAAAGAAUCCCUCCUAAUGAAUUCACUCACACACUGGGCACUUUAAUGAAAAUCAAUACUGUAAUUUUCUACUUAGAUAACCCAAUCCCUCCAAACUGAUUCUCUCAUUUCCUCCUAGUGCAUCUUCGAUUAUUCAAUCAAGGAUCCGACCUCAGCAGCCUUGGUUACAGAGAUUAUAGUUUCAGAGUCAGUCAACUCCAACCCCUUAGGUCAGUCUUCCUUAGGGUUCAUGGUGAAUUCAUCGCCCCUGUACAAACGCUCAAAUUCAUGGGCUGUUUGUUGUACAACCCCUCUCAUGAAGACAUACCUCUUAUUUAUGACUCAAUCAAUGGAGACCCUCAGACCUCGAGGCCGAUCG